CACAUCAAGUGUUUCUUUAUUAUGAUUUAACUGAUAAUCUGGGAUGAUGAUAACAUUUGAUUUCUUGAAAUAAAUUAGAAUGUGUGUAUAUAUACUCAAGAAUAACUAUUUUAUCACCCAUUUUUCGUUAUAUGAAUAGAUUAUUGAUAGUAUUAAUAAAUUCAAGUGUUUCCUGUCAAUUCUAUUCAAAAAGAGUUGAUGAAAAAUUACAAGUUAAUGACGUCAAUACUAUCUAAAAUGGUGGAGUUUUAGACAAGAAUUUCAAACAAGACGUCUCAAUUUCCCAGAAACUCUCUCUUGGUAUUUGAUUGGUGUAAAAAUUAUCAUUAAAUUCAGCACUUAUCUUUAAUCAUCAUAAUGCCAUUAACAAAAGAUAUGAGGUCACCGUUAAUUUUGAUUGUGGUUACAUAAAUUACAGUAAGCUUGUAUUUUUCCGUAUACUCGAACUCAAUGCUAGUCAGAUGUGCGUACGUGUACUUGAGUAUCACCGAAAUUUAAUUGUGAAAUUUUAUUGGAAUCAUUAACAUUCAAGCACUGAAAAAAAAAUUUAUUUUCAUACAAAAUGGCAUUUGUUAUGUGAGCGAAUUCUGAUGAACGAAGAUUUCUUAAUGUAUUCUAACUUCAAUUGAAUGGAACUUUUUCGGAAGCAGUUGAGUAAAAUGUCCAUGAUAAUUGCAAGCUGUCAAAAUUAGUAUUCUUUUUGGUUUGGCUGAUCGAUAAUGGAUAAUUUAAAAACCACCUUUUUCAUCACAUCUAUCGUCACCAUCAUAAGUGUUUGGUGUGUUGUAUUAUCAUUUGCAAGUCUAUGGAAUAUUCCGCUGUUAAAAUGCCCAGAAGGUCAAGCCAGAAUACACACCGGAGAAUGUGUACGUUUCUUUACCAUUAAUUUCGAUGAUCCUAAUCAUAUUAAACAACCAGCGUCAUUUACGCCUGAGAAGACUAUUAAGGAAAAUGAGGAAAAGUUACUUGAGCUAUUAAGAUCGCUACCAUUACUUAAAACUUAUGCUGAUUAUGACUACGAGUACUGAGUUAAAAGCCCCUAUUAUUGACAGGGCCCUCACUAUUGACACCCUAUUUAAUUUCAUUGUUGAAAUCGGUUAAUAAAAACAAUUUUUAAUAUUUCA